UGGGGAAUUUUGGACAAUGGGCGCAAGCCUGAUCCAGCCAUUCCGCGUGCAGGAUGAAGGCCUUCGGGUUGUAAACUGCUUUUGUACGGAACGAAAAAGCCCUUUCUAAUACAGAGGGUCCAUGACGGUACCGUAAGAAUAAGCACCGGCUAACUACGUGCCAGCAGCCGCGGUAAUACGUAGGGUGCGAGCGUUAAUCGGAAUUACUGGGCGUAAAGCGUGCGCAGGCGGUGAUGUAAGACAGAUGUGAAAUCCCCGGGCUCAACCUGGGAACUGCAUUUGUGACUGCAUCGCUGGAGUGCGGCAGAGGGGGAUGGAAUUCCGCGUGUAGCAGUGAAAUGCGUAGAUAUGCGGAGGAACACCGAUGGCGAAGGCAAUCCCCUGGGCCUGCACUGACGCUCAUGCACGAAAGCGUGGGGAGCAAACA
rnacentral:rRNA from 2 species